rnacentral:piRNA from 1 species
UGCCUCUUGUGAAGUUUCUUCUUGAUGUAA